rnacentral:rRNA from 1 species
UGAGUACGAGACGCUAAGGCGUCGAAGUAGUGGAUGUCAUACUUCCAAGAAAAGCUUGCACUGUCAUAAUAAAAAAUGCCUGUACCAUAACCGACACAGGUGGGUAAGUAGAGUAUACUAAGGGGCGCGAGAUAACUCUCUCUAAGGAACUCGGCAAAAUAACUCCGUAACUUCGGGAGAAGGAGUGCCUUAUUCUUAAGGUUGCAAUAACAAGAUCCAAGCAACUGUUUAUCAAAAACACAGGUCUCCGCUAAGUCGUAAGACGAUGUAUGGGGGCUGACGCCUGCCCAGUGCCAGAAGGUUAAAGAAGUCGGUUAGCAAUAGCAAAGCUGGUAAUUGAAGCCCUGGUGAACGGCGGCCGUAACUAUAACGGUCCUAAGGUAGCGAAAUUCCUUGUCGGGUAAGUUCCGACCCGCACGAAAGGCGUAAUGAUUUGGAUGCUGUCUCGGAGAGGGGCUCGGUGAAAUAGACUUGUCUGUGAAGAUGCGGACUACCUGCACCAGGACAGAAAGACCCUAUGAAGCUUUACUGUAACUUGAAAUUGAAAUUGGACUUUAUUCGCGCAGUAUAGGUGGGAGGCGUUGAUUAUAAUCUUGUGGGAUUAUUGGAGCCAUCAGUGAGAUACCACUCUUGUAAUGUUAGAUUUCUAACUUUGAAUCAUUAUCUGGUCAAAGGACAGUUUCAGGCGGGCAGUUUGACUGGGGCGGUCGCCUCCUAAACGGUAACGGAGGCGUACAAAGGUUUCCUCUGAACGGUUAGAAAUCGUAUCUAGAGUGUAAAGGCAUAAGGAAGCUUGACUGUGAGACCUACAAGUCGAGCAGGGACGAAAGUCGGUCUUAGUGAUCUGACGGUACUGAGUGGAAAGGCCGUCACUCAACGGAUAAAAGUUACUCUAGGAUAACAGGCUGAUCUCCCCCAAGAGUUCACAUCGACGGGGAGGUUUGGCACCUCGAUGUCGGCUCAUCGCAUCCUGGGGCGGUAGUACGUCCCAAGGGUUGGGCUGUUCGCCCAUGAAAGCGGUACGCGAGCUGGGUUCAGAACGUCGUGAGACAGUUCGGUCCAUAUCCGGUGUAGGCGCUAGAAUAUUGAGAGGAGCCUUCUUUAGUACGAGAGGACCGAGAAGGACAUACCUCUGGUGUACCAGUUAUCGUGCCAACGGUAAACGCUGGGUAGCUAUGUAUGGAGUGGAUAACCGCUGAAAGCAUCUAAGUGGGAAGCCCACCUC